AAGAGACUGUGAUCCCAGCCAAAAAUAAUAUAUUUCUCAGUCUUCCUUAAAAUACUUUUGGCCAUGUGACUAAGUCCUGGUCGCUGAGAACUAAGCAAAAGAUUCUGGGUCCUUCUUGGAAGACUAUGCAGUCUGAGAAGAAUACACUUUUGUACUUCCCACCUUCCUUUCUUCUGCUCCCUAGAUCACAGGUAAAAUAGCUGGAGAUUCUGCAGUGAUUGUGGAUUAUGAGGUAAUCUGGAUAACGGAAACCAAGCAUGUAGAAGUAGAAAACCCCAGGACACCUGAGCCUCUGAGGCACUAAGUGGAGCUACUAAAACAGUCUUGAACUCCUGCUCUCAGAAUGUUGUUACAUAAAUGAAUACAGUCUUACCUGUGUGAAGUAUUCUAAUAAAAUGUCUCCAUUACUCCAGCUGGAAGCAAUAUAUAAUGAAUAUAAAUCCCCGUUUUAAAACUCUAUGUGUAUUUCAAAAACAGUCUUAAAGGCAUACUCUCCUUAUUCUCAUUUUCCUUCCACAUCCCUGAUUUUUCUCUGUCUUGUAACCCUCUGGAGGUAGCCGUGGUUUCUCUUAAAGUGCAUAAUCUCUGCAGUUAGAGAGAUUGUGGGAUGAAAUUUCUUACUAAUCAUGUCACCUGAGAUGAUUGGCUUAACCUCUCCAUGCCUCUGUUUCCUUCUCUGAUGGUGUGGGUAAUAGUUAGGAGGAAUAAGGAAGAAGAAGCAGGAGUUCCCGUCCUGGUGCAGUGGUUAACGAAUCUGACUAGGAACCAUGAGGCUGCAGGUUCGAUCCCUGGCCUUGCUCAAUGGGUUAAGGAUCCAGCAUCGCUGUGAGCUGUGGUGUGGGUCGCAGACGCAGCUCGGAUCCCACGUUGCUGUGGCUCUGGCAUAGGCCGGUGGCUAUAGGCUGGUGGCCACAGCUCCGAUUCGACCCCUAGCCUGGGAACCUCCAAAUGCCGUGGAAGUGGCCCUGGAAAAGGCAAAAAGACAGAAAAAAAAAAAAAGAAUAGAAGAAGUAUAUAAAUCCCUUAGAACAACACUUUGCACAUAGCAUGAUUGCAACAAAAAUAAUAAAUAUAGUAAUAAUUAUCAUCGUUAUGUUUUUCCAAAAGGUAUUAUUUUUUAAAAUAGGGUUAGCACUCUCAGUGUAAAGUUACACAGAGAACUUUGAGUAUUAGCCAGAAGGAUAUUUUUUUAAUCCCAUAGGGACCUACCUGUCCUAAACGUCUUCUCUAAAGUGGUACAACUGGGGAGUUCCCAUCAUGGUGCAGCAGAAAUGAAUCUGACUAGGAACCAUGAGGUUGCGGGUUCGAUCCCUGACCUCUCUCAGUGGGUUAAGAAUCUGGUGUUGCCGUGAGUUAUCCCCGUUGCUGUGGCUGUGGUUUAGGCCAGUGGCUACAGCUCCGAUUCAACCCCUAGCCUGGGAACCUCCAUAUGGCGUGGGUGCGGCCCUGAAAAGACACCACAUCAGUCACCUGAGCUGCUGCAGUGAACACACCAAAUCUUUAAGCCACUGUGCCACAAGGGAACUUCUUUUUUAAUUCUGUGUUGCUAAGCAGGCUUCAUUUUUAAAAAAAUUUUCUUCAUACAACUUGCUUUAAGGUGCUUAACACAAGUGAACUAAUAAUCUUAAGAAAAAAAUAACUCAAUUUCUAAAACUAAGUAUUUGAAGAAAAUAAUAGUGUCGUUUUUAAAAGCACAGGCUUUGGAUUCAGAUGGACCUGGGCUUGAUUUUGAGUUUUUCAUUCACUAACUGUGAGCAAGUUAACACCAUAUUUUCUAAGUCUGAGUUUCUUUGCCAAUAAGAUGGACAAUAAUAUUUGCACUUCUAGGGUGGUGAUGAAGCUUGAUUGAGAUAAUGCUUGUAAAACAUUUAGUGUGUACCUGGCAUGUCACACAUGAGCAAUGAAUCAGGACUGUUUUUGUUAUGAGUCCUAGUAAUAAUGCUAACAAAGAAAAUGCAUAAUCACAUUUUAAUACAGCCCAGUGGUUAGUAUUGCAGUUAAGUUCUUCUACGAAAUGACUAUUCAUUGGUAUUAGCAAUGUUAAAGAAUGGAGCAAAUAAGAAUGUGAACAUAUUCACACAAACAAAAUAUUUGAAAAGCUAGAUAGAAAAAUGGAACUUUGAGCUCAAGUUAGAAAUUAAGAAUCAUAAGCCUUUCUCCAUGUUGUAUUCCCUACUUAGAUAUACAAUUUUAGAUUGAUUUAUGUAAGGUUGGAGGUAAAAUCAUUUUGAAAGACUUUUAAAGGGCAGCAAAUAGAAUAGAUCAAUAGACUUCAAGAGAGAGAGGAUGAUUAAAAGGAUAUAAAAACGUAGUUGAAAUUAUAUGAACCUGAAUUAUUGAGGAGAAAAGAGAGCAUUAUGGUUUUGUCUGACUUAGACUUAUUAAAAUAAAAUGGGGCUGGGGAAGAGGCACAUUGCACUACCACAACCUCUAGCAGAUAUUUAAAAAAAAAUCUUCAUUUUGUUGAAAAGGAUAAAUCACACACAUGUCUGUGGUUUAAAAUGGCUUUAAAGACAUGAAUAGCCAAUGCUCCAAAGGAAAGAUGCAGAAAGGACUUUUCAAAACCUCUUUUAAAUACCUGCUAAACAGAAGUUUAAGGAAGAAUAUCCUAGGUCUUAUACCCAAAGAGUAACUUUCAGAAAGGAAGACCUCUACUUGCAAAACGGACAGAAUUUCAGAUUCCCACAUGGUACAACAAUAUGUCAGGACAGACUCUGAGAAACAGCAGAUUUCCAGGAAAAGAGAUCUCAGUUGGAACUGCUGGGAGGGUGGGGAUCUGAUUCUUGGAGGAGAUGUGCCCUCAGUUCAAGCUAUUCCAGCUCCUUCCUAUCCUGGGAACAGUUGCAGUUGAAUAUUAUUAAACCUCUAGGCAGAGUUUGAAGAUCAAAUAGAUACUAAGUGGAAACAAUGACAGAAGGAAUCUGUAUAGGAUAUUGACUAUUCUGGAAUCUACUUUUUUCUCGACAACCUGAUGGCUCUUUCUUGAUCUGUCAACAACAGUAAUGAAAAAAAAUAAGAUAGAAGAGGGUGAAAUAGACAUGUGAUAGAUUUUUUUCCAACCUUUAUGAUGAUAUUAUUUGAAAACAUGUAUUAUGAAAAUCUUUAUGCAUGCACAAUAGCAGGGAGUCAGUGAAUCACCAGGCACCUGAACCCCAGUAUGAAAAACUAUAUGCAUUUUGCCAUCCUUAUUUCAUCUAUUUCCUCCAACUUUUUGUUUUGUAUGUUAGAGUGUUUCAAAAUAGAUCCAAGGCACAAUGUCAAUUUACCCUAAGCAUUUCAUUAUAUAUAUUUUACAUCCGUAUACAGUUGUCCCUCAGUAUACUCUGGGAGUUGGUUCCAGAACCCCAACGGAUACUGCAAAUCCCAGGAUGCUCAAGUCCCUUAUAUAAAAUAGUACAGCAUUUGCAUAUAACCUACACAGUCCUCCUGUAUAUUUUAAAUUAUAUCUAGAUUACUUAAAAUACCUAGUUCAAUGUAAGUGCUAUAUAAACAGUUGCUGGCAUGUGGUAAAUUUAAGAUUUGUGUUUUAGACAUUUUUGGAGUUUAAAAAUAUAUUUUUAAUCCUGUGGUUGGGCUGAAUCUGUGUAUACAACACUCAGAAAAAUAGAGAGCCAACUGUAUAUGUAUAUAUGUAUAUAUGUGAUGUAGACAUAAAUAUAUAUAAUGGAUAACAUAUAAUAGUAGAAUAUAUAUGUAUACAUAUGUAUACUUACUUGUCUCAAUGAUUUUGUUACAUCUAAAAAUUUUAAAAUAAUUUUUAGUAUUAUCUAACAGUGCACUUUCAAAUUUUUCCAACUAUUCCAAAUUAUUAUUAUUUAUAACUGGCUUGAAUCAGAAUCAAAAAAUGCCCACUUACCGUAUUUAGUUGUUAUACUUUGAGCUUCUUUCAUACAAUUAUUGUUGAAUAUAUUGAGUUAUUGUCCUUUAAGUUGCUUCCUCAUGACAUCGGUUCACUGGUUUCUUUUGGCUAUUUUUUUUUGUAACUGGGAGGUUACAUCUAAAAUUUGCUUUAAAAAAACCAACUCUUUAGAUGCAGUUCUGUAACAUUAUAUUCAAAAUGCAUUAUCUUCAAAGAAGUUUCCGUUCCUCAUUUCAUGUGCAAUGGGGAGGGACCCCUUUUUCCAUGGAAACCUUGGGACUCUUUUCAGUCUUUAGUGUCAUGGGGUUGGUCAGACUUGAUCCUGGUUGUUCUGUGCUUUGCCCACUCAGGUGCUAUUAAUGAACUAUUAUCCUUUGUAAAGUCCCACAGGCCCCUGAUGAAAUCUCUGUUUCCCACCAUAUUUUCUACUUUGGAUGUUGGAACAUCUUUAUUCUGACUCCAUGUCUAUUCAGGUUACUGGUUCUCCUAGGAUCUCUGGAGAGGCCUGGAGAAUAUUGGCUUCUUUCUCUGAACCACUGAAGAGUGUCCAAGACUCCAGCAGGUUUUUCUCUGGGCCUCCCAUGCAGCCAUCUUCCUCAAACAGUUGUUCAAUCUCAUACAAAAACACAUUGUGAACCUCCCAGACAUAAAACACCUCUCACUAUUUGGAUUUCCUCUCAACUUCUCUGAGGUUUUUUUAUCUUCCUGGAAAGCUGCACACACACACAGACAGACAGACAGACACACACCCCAAAGAAAUGAACGAAUUGGAGCUUAGGAAGACACUCCCAACCUUCCUCAAGACUCCAGCCUCCAUCCCCAUCAGACAAGAUUCUGCCUCCCCUUUCAGAAUAGUGGGAACUAUCACAUUGCAGCUUCCUUCUUCAUUAACUAGCUUUGUUCUGGUGACACAGUCCUCUCCUUCCUCAUGUUACUGAGAGUAUUGCUAAACUCAUGGUUUAGUAAUAGUGACACUAGUGCCUGCAGGAAAAAAAAAAGAAAGGCAAAAGAAAGCAACAAAUAAAUCUACCAUGAAAUCACUAAUAGAGAAAAUAGGUCCAAUAUUUUGAAAUAUAUUCCCAUUACAGACAGUAGAAGUCCUCAAAUGCUUUCGGUAAGUCUAGAUAAGACAUCUCAAAAUAAAUCUAAUUCGCUGGAGGAAAAUGAGGAAGGGAUAAAGUAGAUACGUAACUUGUGACCAGAAAAAUGGGAGGGAAACCAGAAAACAAAACAGGGUGUGUUAGAAUAUAAGAGGAUGAAGAGAAUAUAUUUGAAGAAGAGAGGAAUGGCAGAUACUUUUAAAUGCUUCAGAAGGAUUAGCUCAAUUGAGACCUUCUGCUCACAUUAGGAUGAUGACUUAACUGUGGUUUACUUCCUGGGAUCUCUGGAUGUAGAUGACUCAUUGGGUGAUUAUCUUACUAUAUCAUGUUUUGACAGAAUCUCAAUAUGGACCUCAUGUGACUGAGUUUUUAAUUCAAACUUUUAAAGCAACUAGCUGUAUGACCUUUGGGAAGUUUCCUAGCCCCUCUUUGUUUUCCUUAUACAAAGAGGGAGUUGGUUAGAUUAUCUCUCAAAUUUUUGGCUCUAAAAUCUGCAAAUUUAAGCUAUAUUUCUCAAAACAAAUGGAAGAAAAAUUCCAUUGUACCAGCACCAGAUUUCUUGUUCAUCCUUUUCUUUUUUUCCUAAAUUAAGGGCACUUCUAUGCCAGUAAAAGUGAGAUGACAAAAACAUUUAUAGAAAGCUAACUAUGUGUUCGGAAACAUACUAGUUGUUUUAUAUAGAGUUAAAUACAUUUUUUAGAACUGAUUGUCCUGAUUUUUUAAAAUACAUAUUUAAUUGCAGAACAAGACAUUUAAUUAGAAAACUCAUGGCAAUACAGUUACUCCAUGUAACUUCAGGUAUACAUUAGGUCCACUCAUACCAUAUGCCACUUCCUAACUCUUGUCAUUUGUAUUCUUCUUUUUGUUUUUUUUUCCUUAGCUAUAUGUCAUCAUCAAUAUGGUUACACCAAAUUGGUUACAUCAUGUUUUUUGACAUGAUAUCUUUUUAUACUUACAUUCAUUUUGAAAGAAUACCUUUUUUUCACUGUAAUAAAUAUAUACCAAAGUUACUUCCCAUAAAUGCAACAGAGCUGUUAUAUGGGAAAUAUGAAUAUUAAUAUACAAAAUAUACUAGAAUUAUUAUGAAAAUAAAAUAAUGUAAUUAAAUUAUAGAUAGAUUCUAUUUACCUACUCUUGCUUUGUUUAUGAAAGGAUACGAGUGCUGAGCCCAAUAUUAGCAAGAAUCCUAAGACAGUUUAGAGAGAAUUCCUCCACUCUUCAUAGUCAGUCAAGUUCCUCUUCCCUUACUCUUGAUAUCUAAUCAAGUUCCUCUUAAGAAUGGUCCAUCUACUCCCUCAUCCUGUCAUUGCCUAUAAAUCCCCAGCUCUUUCUGCUUUUUUCAAGUAUGAGUUCAAUCUCUCUCCACUAUUGCAAUAGUCUUGAAUUAAAUCUCCCUUGCCUGUUUUGAAGCAAAGAGAGGUUGGAGUGUUGGAGAAGUGGUGCUUCUAAAAAUAAUGGUGAUAUUUUUAGAACAGCCUCAGCUGAGACUUAAUAAUAUAGU
rnacentral:lncRNA from 1 species